UGACUUCCCAGCGGGGAUUCCUGAAUGUGU
rnacentral:piRNA from 1 species